UACGAAGGGUGCUAGCGUUGUUCGGAAUUACUGGGCGUAAAGCGCGCGUAGGCUGUUUUACAAGUCAGGGGUGAAAUCCUGGGGCUCAACCCCAGAAUUGCCUUUGAAACUGUAAGACUUGAGUGUCGGAGGGGAUAGCGGAAUUGCUAAUGUAGAGGUGAAAUUCGUAGAUAUUAGCAGGAACACCGGUGGCGAAGGCGGCUAUCUGGACGACAACUGACGCUGAGGCGCGAAAGCGUGGGGAUCAAACAGG
rnacentral:rRNA from 1 species